AAUAGGAUAGUGUAAUGCGCACGUGGAGUUUUGGGUUCCAAAGAGAUGAUUCAAUUCGUUUUCUAUUU
rnacentral:tRNA from 1 species